rnacentral:misc_RNA from 1 species
GAAAACUUGAUACCCGAUUUUGAUUUUGACCAGUUAAUUACGAGUAGGUUGAUGAAACCUACUGGGAAAGCUGAUGCGACGGUUGUGGUUAUGGUGGUUGAUUGUGUUGAUUUUGAUGGUUCCUUUCCAAAGCGAGCUGCUAAAUCUUUGUUUAAGGCACUAGAACAAAGCCAAGAUGGCUUGAAACAAAGUAAGAAGUUGCCAAAGCUUGUUCUUGUGGCUACAAAGGUUGACCUCCUCCCAUCAC